rnacentral:rRNA from 1 species
AUGAGCUGCAGGGGAAUCUCGCCGUCCGUCCUCUUGCCUCCGUUCCUCUACAAGCCCACGGCCUUCCGCCUCCUGCAGCCACAGCCAGAGCAGUCCUCUGUGGUCUUGGACAGAACCAGAGGACUCUUAUUUCAACACAGCUGUAGACCGCCUGUGUUGCCUCAAGCGAUGCUGCUUCCUCGGCACUACUACACCGCCCCAUGGCAUGGUCCGAUCCAAGGGCGUCUGUUCCACAACAUCAUCAAGCACAUUAAUCGACCGCCUGCAUUAGCACAAGCGACACUGCUUUCUCGGCCCUACCGGACGGUGCCAUGGCAUGGGGAGGUCUUGGCCUCAACUCAUCGACGCCUCUUCAGCCGUAUUUUGCCUCACAAUAGUCGAUUGCCUGCGUUAGCACGGGGGGCACUGCUACCUAGGUGUUUCUACACCACCACACGGCAAUUCAAGGACAUGGAAUCUAUCCGAAGACUCCUUUUUCGAGGCAUUACACCUGGCAUCUUUCUUCCUCGGUGGUACUUCAGUGCUCCAUUGCAGCAACAGCAGAUUUUGGGACCCAUCCGAGGACUCUUCUUCGGUCAUAUUCGUCAAGUUGUAUGUCGGCCUUGGCAGUAUUGCGUGGCCCCAUCGAGAUCGGCGAUCCAUUUUGCUCGUAGCUACUUUGGAUGUUUGUGGAAGGUCACAGUGGCUGCAGCUUUUAUCAACAUUAUGUGGUCGUUUGUCUACCACACUUAUCUUGUUCGUGUCCCAUACACCAGCCAAACUCGUUUCUUACGCUUUGAGACUGUGCCUUAUACCAACCGGAUCCACUUUGUCGUUCGCUCUCCUCUAGAUGACCGCGAGUAUGGCGAGUCAUGUUUUUCUAUGUUCAAGAGGAAUUACCCAUCCACGUUCUUUAGCCCGCUCCACCCCGACAGUGUACGUGUCAAUCUUAUCACAGCGAAACUUGUUCGCGCCGUUCAACGUGGCCUUGAUAUCAAGGGUUCUGAUGCGGCCUUGGUCCAUGGCUCCCCUGGCAAAGACGCGAGCUUAGAUGGUAGGCAUGCAGUUGAGAGCAAUAAACAGGGCAAGUCAUGCAGAUCACAGCCACAGAUAACUCACCUUGAUGGUCUUGACUUGGAGGUGUUUGUUAUGAAAAAUGAUCAGCAUAUGGGUGCAGUGUCAUGGUCCAAUGGCAAAAUUUUAGUGUUCACUGGAUUGCUCAAUAAUUUGGAGACUGAUGCCGAAAUUGCUACUAUUCUUGCACAUGAGAUUGCACAUUUGGUUGCCAGACACUGGUCAGAGUUAAUUAUAUAUAAGAAGUGGUUUCCUUAUCCUCUCAAGGUGUACUUCGUACGAAGGAUCGAGAGAGAGGCAGAUCGCAUGGGAAUGCUGAUAAUGGCUGCUGCUGGUUUCGAUCCACACAUAGCCCCUAAGACCGUUGAGAAGCUAGCUGGGAAUGACAUAUAUCAUCCUUCGGGGAAGAAAAGAGCACAGCUUUUAUCUAAAGCAAAUAUCAUGGAUGAGGCGCUGGAAUUAUAUAGAGAAGUUAUGCUGGCCAAGGCGCCAUAA